rnacentral:rRNA from 1 species
UUUAACAUGAGAGUUUGAUCCUGGCUCAGGAUGAACGCUGGCGGCGUGCUUAACACAUGCAAGUCGAGCGAAGCGAUUAAGAGGAAGUUUUCGGAUGGAAUCUUGAUUGACUGAGCGGCGGACGGGUGAGUAACGCGUGGGUAACCUGCCUUACACUGGGGGAUAACAGUUAGAAAUGGCUGCUAAUACCGCAUAAGCAUACAGUGCCGCAUGGCACGGUGUGAAAAACUCCGGUGGUGUAAGAUGGACCCGCGUCUGAUUAGGUAGUUGGUAGGGUAACGGCCUACCAAGCCGACGAUCAGUAGCCGACCUGAGAGGGUGACCGGCCACAUUGGGACUGAGACACGGCCCAAACUCCUACGGGAGGCAGCAGUGGGGAAUAUUGGACAAUGGGGGAAACCCUGAUCCAGC